rfam:Danio rerio chromosome 4, GRCz11 reference primary assembly.
GCAUUGGCGGGUCAGUGGUAGAAUUUUUGCCUGCCACGCGGGAGACCCGGGUCCGAUUCCCGGCCAAUGCG